GUACGGGAGGCAGCAGUGGGGAAUUUUCCGCAAUGGGCGAAAGCCUGACGGAGCAAGACCGCGUGGGGGAAGAAGGCUCUUGGGUUGUAAACCCCUUUUCUCUGGGAAGAAAGUUGUGAAAGCAACCUGACGGUACCAGAGGAAUCAGCAUCGGCUAACUCCGUGCCAGCAGCCGCGGUAAGACGGAGGAUGCAAGCGUUAUCCGGAAUGAUUGGGCGUAAAGCGUCCGCAGGUGGCAGUUCAAGUCUGCUGUCAAAGACCGGGGCUUAACUUCGGAAAGGCAGUGGAAACUGAACAGCUAGAGUAUGGUAGGGGCAGAGGGAAUUCCUGGUGUAGCGGUGAAAUGCGUAGAGAUCAGGAAGAACAUCGGUGGCGAAGGCGCUCUGCUGGACCAUAACUGACACUCAGGGACGAAAGCUAGGGGAGCGAAUGGGAUUAGAUACCCCGGU
rnacentral:rRNA from 1 species